rnacentral:tRNA from 1 species
GGGCCCAUAGCUCAGAUGGUUAGAGCGGCAGACUCAUAAUCUGAAGGUCGCAGGUUCAAUCCCUGCUGGGCCCA